AAACCAACCGGGAUUGCCUUAGUAACGGCGAGUGAAGCGGCAAAAGCUCAAAUUUGAAAUCUGGUACCUUCGGUGCCCGAGUUGUAAUUUGGAGAGGGCAACUUUGGGGCCGUUCCUUGUCUAUGUUCCUUGGAACAGGACGUCAUAGAGGGUGAGAAUCCCGUGUGGCGAGGAGUGCGGUUCUUUGUAAAGUGCCUUCGAAGAGUCGAGUUGUUUGGGAAUGCAGCUCUAAGUGGGUGGUAAAUUCCAUCUAAAGCUAAAUAUUGGCGAGAGACCGAUAGCGAACAAGUACAGUGAUGGAAAGAUGAAAAGAACUUUGAAAAGAGAGUGAAAAAGUACGUGAAAUUGUUGAAAGGGAAGGGCAUUUGAUCAGACAUGGUGUUUUGUGCCCUCUGCUCCUUGUGGGUAGGGGAAUCUCGCAUUUCACUGGGCCAGCAUCAGUUUUGGUGGCAGGAUAAAUCCAUAGGAAUGUAGCUUGCCUCGGUAAGUAUUAUAGCCUGUGGGAAUACUGCCAGCU
rnacentral:rRNA from 1 species